CAAAGCUCCUGGGAUCCUGGGAUCCUGGGAUCCUGGGAUCCUGGGAUCCCGGGAUCCUGGGAUCCUGGGAUCCUGG
rnacentral:pre_miRNA from 1 species